rnacentral:lncRNA from 1 species
AUUCCUAGUCAGGCUAAGUUAAAAUUGGUUGAUUUUUAAAUCCAAGAGUUGGAAAAGACGGAAAAACAUGAACAGUUAAGAAAGUAUUGCAAGAUUUCUGGCAAGAAUGAGUACAGGCUGUCUUGUAAAGAAGAACUGAAGUAGAGAGGAGACUCAAUGUGAAAGGUCAGGACUGAGACCUGAGCUUCUGCCCCUAAGUGAUGCCAGUGCUGAUGGGUUCUGCGCGUGUUACCUAAGAAAAUGUUACCUACACAGGGUUCUUCUAUGAACCUGGAAGAUGAAGAUGUUCUCAUAUCUUUUCUUCUAUAUGCCAUAAAGAUUUAACUUAUUUCACAUUUUCUCUUAACAUUGUGAAUUAUAUCAAUUUUUUUUUCUAAGGUUAAACUGAGAUGACCACAAUCAUUCAAUCUAUAUUCUUUUAUAUAUUGCUGGAUUUAUUUUUUAAAACUUACGAUUUAUGAGCUUUGCAUCUACCUUCAUCACUGACAUUGAUUUAACAUUUUCUUUCUUCAAUCUUUUUCAUGUUGCAUUAUC